GAUUGAACGCUGGCGGCGUGCCUAACACAUGCAAGUCGAGCGGUAACAGGUGUAGCAAUACAUGCUGACGAGCGGCGAACGGGUGAGUAGUGCUUCGGAAUCUACCCAAUGGUGGGGAAUAACCAGCCGAAAGGUUGGCUAAUACCGCAUACGUCCCACGGGAGAAAGCAGGGGAUCGCAAGACCUUGCGCCAAUGGGAUGAGCCGAAGUCGGAUUAGCUAGUUGGAGGGUAACGGCCUACCAAGGCGACGAUCCGUAGCUGGUCUGAGAGGACGACCAGCCACACUGGGACUGAGACACGGCCCAGACUCCUACGGGAGCAGCAGUGGGGAAUAUUGGACAAUGGGGGAACCCUGAUCCAGCGACGCCGCGUGUGUGAAGAAGGCCUGCGGGUUGUAAAGCACUUUUAGU
rnacentral:rRNA from 1 species